AUUGAACGCUGGCGGCAUGCUUUACACAUGCAAGUCGAACGGUAACAGGUUAAGCUGACGAGUGGCGAACGGGUGAGUAAUGCAUCGGAACGUGCCCGGUCGUGGGGGAUAACGCAGCGAAAGCUGCGCUAAUACCGCAUACGAUCUGAGGAUGAAAGCGGGGGACCGUAAGGCCUCGCGCGAUCGGAGCGGCCGAUGUCAGAUUAGGUAGUUGGUGGGGUAAAGGCUCACCAAGCCGACGAUCUGUAGCUGGUCUGAGAGGACGACCAGCCACACUGGGACUGAGACACGGCCCAGACUCCUACGGGAGGCAGCAGUGGGGAACUUUGGACAAUGGGCGCAAGCCUGAUCCAGCAAUGCCGCGUGCAGGAAGAAGGCCUUCGGGUUGUAAACUGCUUUUGUACGGAGCGAAAAGGCUCUCUCUAAUACAGGGGGCUCAUGACGGUACCGUAAGAAUAAGCACCGGCUAACUACGUGCCAGCAGCCGCAGUAA
rnacentral:rRNA from 1 species